rnacentral:rRNA from 1 species
GAUGAACGCUGGCGGCGUGCCUAAUACAUGCAAGUCGAGCGAACGGACGAGAAUCUUGCUUCUCUGAUGUUAGCGGCGGACGGGUGAGUAACACGUGGAUAACCUACCUAUAAGACUGGGAUAACUUCGGGAAACCGUAGCUAAUACCGGAUAAUAUUUUGAACCGCAUGGUUCAAAAGUGAAAGACGGUCUUGCUGUCACUUAUAGAUGGAUCCGCGCUGCAUUGGCUAGUUGGUAAGGUAACGGCUUACCAAGGCAACGAUGCAUAGCCGACCUGAGAGGGUGAUCGGCCACACUGGAACUGAGACACGGUCCAGACUCCUACGGGAGGCAGCAGUAGGGAAUCUUCCGCAAUGGGCGAAAGCCUGACGGAGCAACGCCGCGUGAGUGAUGAAGGUCUUCGGAUCGUAAAACUCUGUUAUUAGGGAAGAACAUAUGUGUAAGUAACUGUGCACAUCUUGACGGUACCUAAUCAGAAAGCCACGGCUAACUACGUG